UACGGGGGGGCAAGCGUUGUUCGGAAUUACUGGGCGUAAAGGGUUCGUAGGUGGCCAACUAAGUCAUACGUGAAAUCCCUCAGCUUAACUGGGGAACUGCGUCUGAUACUGGUUGGCUUGAGUGCAGGAGAGGAACGCGGAAUUCCAGGUGUAGCGGUGAAAUGCGUAGAUAUCUGGAGGAACACCGGUGGCGAAGGCGGCGUUCUGGACUGUAACUGACACUGAGGAACGAAAGCCAGGGGAGCAAACGGG
rnacentral:rRNA from 1 species